AUGCGGCGCAGGGCGAGGCAGCCCCGGGUGGCCGGGGCAGGGCGCGGGGCCGGGGGGAAGCAGGGGCCGAGCCGAGCCGCGCCGCCGGCCCCCCGGGCGGCCUCCGCAUCCCUCUUACCUGCAUCUCAUCCUCGCCGCCGGUCUCCUUCGGUCCGAAAUGGCAUCUCCCCCGGCCCCCCCCCACCUCCUCCUCCUCCUCCUCCUCCUCCGCCACAGCCUCCACCUGCAGUAACGCAGCUCCCCCUCUCCGCAGCGCCGGCACGGGCAGGAGGCGCACGGGCGGCGGAGGCGCUCCCGGGGUCCGCCCGGCUCCCGGCCCCCCCCGGCUCCCGCUGGCCGCUCCGGGGCCGCCCUAGGGACCCCCGGGGGCCGGCGGCNNNNNNNNNNGCUGCCGCCGGCCGAGGCUGCUGCGGGGAGCCCGGCUGCGAGGCAGCCCCGGCUGCCGGCCCCCGCCUCCCCUCCGGGAGGAGCCGCCGGGGGGAGCGGAGCGGGGCGGUGCGGGGCCGGGAGCUGCCUCCAGUCCCCUCCUCCCGCAGCCUCGCUGCGCUUCGGGGAGAGGGGGGAGAGGCGCGGGGAUGCGCCCCGGACACGGGGAGGGCCGUCCCGGUGCUGCCCAUCGCGGCUUUCUGCCCCCCCAGCCUUCACGGCGCUCCCCACGCUCUGUGGGGUGAGGGCUGCGGGGCACGGGGGGGCCCCGGGGCGCGUCUGAGCGCUGCUGACCCCAAGGGUCCCAGUUCAGAGCAUCCCGAACCGGCCCCAUCGCACCCAGGGCUGAUUUCCCCGGCACCCUCGGGAGCUUUGCCCACUGCCGGCUCUCCCAUCGGAGGCUGGUUUCUCCGGCAGAAAUGGGCACAAACUUCGCUUCUCACGUGCACUUUCCCCUCCUGCUCCCUUUCAAUGGGGCUCCGGGGUGCUUCCCACUCCGUCCUGCUCCUGCCGGCCCUACAGAGCUGCUGGCAAGGCGGGUCGGGGAGCCGCACGGGGAGCCAGCAGCGAGGCUGGUGCGUUGGCACGGGCUGA
rnacentral:lncRNA from 1 species